rnacentral:rRNA from 1 species
UACAGGAGGUGGCAAGCGUUGUUCGGAAUUACUGGGCGUAAAGGGCGAGUAGGCGGCCUUCUAAGUCAGACGUGGAAAUCCCCCGGCUUAACCCUGGGAACUCGCGUCUGAUACUGGGAGGCGUUGAGUAUGGGGAGAGGGAUGUAGAAUUCCAGGUGUAGCGGUGAAAUGCGUAGAUAUCUGGAGGAAUACCGGUGGCGAAGGCGGCAUCCUGGACCAUUACUGACGCUGAAUCGCGAAAGCUAGGGGAGCAAACGGG